rnacentral:rRNA from 1 species
GAUGAACGCUGGCGGCGUGCCUAAUACAUGCAAGUCGAGCGAACGGACGAGAAGCUUGCUUCUCUGAUGUUAGCGGCGGACUUGUGAGUAACCCGUGGAUACCCUACCUAUACGACUGGGCUAACUUCGGGAAACCGGAGCUCAUCCCGUAUCAUAUUUUGACCCGCAUGGUUCAAAAUUCAACGACUCUCUUGCUGUCACUUAUACCUCGAUCCGCGCUGCAUUAGCUAGUUGGUAAGGUAACGGCUUACCAAGGCAACGAUGCAUAGCCGACCUUAGAGGGUGAACGGCCACACUGGAACUGAGACACGGUGGAGACUCCUACGGGAGGCAGAAGUAGGGAAUCUUCCGCAAUGGGCGAAAGCCUGACGGAGCAACGCCGCGUGAGGGAUGAAGGUCUACGGAUAGUAAAACGCUGUUAUGAGGGAAGAACAUAUGUGUAAGUAACUGUGCACAUCUUGACGGUACCUAAUCAGAAAGCCACGGCUAAAUACGUG